GUCUACGGCCAUACCACCCUGAACGCGCCCGAUCUCGUCUGAUCUUGGAAGCUAAGCAGGGUCGGGCCCGGUUAGUACUUGGAUGGGAGACCGCCUGGGAAUACCGGGUGCUGUAGGCU
rnacentral:rRNA from 1 species